rnacentral:rRNA from 1 species
GACGAACGCUGGCGGCGUGCUUAACACAUGCAAGUCGAGCGGUAAGGCCCUUUCGGGGGUACACGAGCGGCGAACGGGUGAGUAACACGUGGGUGACCUGCCUUUAGCUCUGGGAUAAGCCUGGGAAACCGGGUCUAAUACCGGAUAUGACUCCGCGGCGCAUGUUGUGGGGUGGAAAGCCUUGUGCGGCUGGAGAUGGGCCCGCGGCCUAUCAGCUUGUGGUGGGUGAUGGCCUACCAAGGCGACGACGGGUAGCCGGCCUGAGAGGGCGACCGGCCACACUGGGACUGAGACACGGCCCAGACU